UAGGAAGGUACUGGUCCACGCACUGUCACAGCUUACGUUGAAAUUAUAUUUGAUAACAGCGACCACCGAAUACAAAUUGAGAGCGAAGAAGUGACACUGCGUCGUGUGAUCGGAAUGAAAAAGGACAAUUAUUAUUUGGACGGGAAGCACGUCACUAAAAAUGAUGUCAUGUGCCUAUUGGAAGGAGCUGGUUUUUCACGCAGUAACCCGUAUUAUAUCGUUAAACAAGGAAAAGUAAUUA